GGACCUUAAGAUCCGACAACGGCGACGGCGACGUGGGACUUUUUUUACUUCCGGUUACGUACUGCGCAUGAGUAGAUUUCUGAGACGGCGUUGUCCCUUCACGCGCGGACGUCUAGAAGCCUUGUUUGACGUUGUGCGAAAACGUGGAAAUUAAAACCCAACUAUGGCAAAUGAAUCAAGUCAAUCAAUGAAAUGGAAU